rnacentral:lncRNA from 1 species
UUUUUUUUUUUUUUUUUAAGAUCAAGGAAUGACAGUAAUUAAAAGUAACUGCUCUUUAGAAAACCUUUAUUGGAAUUUAACAGAAAAUAAAGUUUAAAGGGUUCACAUUUUCCCUUAAUGCCAUUCUUUCCAUCUUGAAUAUAAUAUAAUCUAGUAAGAAGGGCCUGGUUUCCAUCCCAUAUUCUUCAUUAUUGAUUUUCGGGGAGAUAACUUGCAGCUAGGCUGGAAGGCCAUAAAAUAGCAGUUGAUAAUACUAGGCUGAAAUUUUGGAGAGGAGGGAGCGGUUUGCUCAUUAGCCCAAUCCAUUUUAUCCCUAAGCCAUCAGAAAGGUCUUCAGCAUUGAUUGUAUCCAAGCAUUAGAGUGAAGUUUUGACUCUUAACACGGUGCUUCUCAAACUAUGUAUGUAUGAAAAUGCAGAUUCUGAUUUCAGCAGGUCUGGGAUGCGUCCUGAUGGUUCAUCUCUAAAAGCUCCCGCAUGAUCGCGCAAAUGCUGAUGUCUGUGGCCUGCAUUUGUGGUAGUUAGGCCUGUGGGGCUUCGGGCUGCGGAUGAGGUGAUAACACAAGCAGGUGUAAGCCCCAGAAAUUGUUGCCACAAAAGAUAGAAUUUAGUAUUUUUUUAGAUAGCUUUUUCAAGGUUAUGAUCGGGGAUGCAGACUGGUCUUGAAGGCUUCAAAGUAAAGGUCAAAGGUUUUUCAGGAGUCAAGUGUAGAAUUUUGCUUCAUUUGGAGCUUUUUUUAGAUACAGGAAAUUUGUGCUUUGGGGAGGAAGAUUUAUAUUUUUAAAUAGGCAGACAGUUAUGUAUUUCAUGUUGUAAAGAAACUUACUAAAUAAGAGGCCAUGUGAACCUUUUCCCAACAGUAGUGUGUGUGGAUUAUGUUCUCUUUUUUAGCAUAAAACUAAAUUUUCAGGUAUUAGAAAUAUAUCUAGUCUGUAAAUAAAUCUUGCCUUCUAAGUUAAGGAGCUUCACUAUUUUACUAAUAACCAUUGUAGACAGACUACUCCUGGCAGUGAAGUUAGCAAUACCAAACAAACAAAGUCGUAGCUGACAGAUGUGACUUGUCAUUGUAGUAAAGAUCUCUGGUUACUUUGCUGUUAAUUGUUGAGAAUUUCUGUUUUAUCUUAAAAUGGGGUCUGAAAGAUGUUGAAUAAUUUGGUUCUCUAAAAAUGAGUUUUUCUUAGCCUUCCGUUUCCUUUAUGUCUUAAAUACUCUUCAUAUGAAUUGGACUCAUCCAGAGCACUUAAUACAGCCCGGAGUUAAGUAACGGGUGUUUUGAAUUGAUAUAUGAAAAUGUGUCGAUGGCUUGAUCUGUAAAACAAAUCUGGGCCUUAGUUUGUGAUGGUCUGAUGAAUGAUACGUUUAUUA